CCCGCAGGCCCCAGCCGCCAAGUCGUUGCUGGGGAAGUGGGCGCAGGCCGCCCUCUCUCCGUGAGCCCACUCGCCACAACCCGCAGGGCCCUGGGGGACUUGGUGGAUCCAACCACAGAAGACCAUGAGACACAGGCGGCCUCGCCGAGAUCUGCCGCUUAGAGCUGUUUCUCUUCCUCACGGCCCCCCUGGCUCCCUGCAGGCCUGGCCUCCUAUCUCCCUCAGGCCAUCAGCCCAGGGACCCCCAGCCCAGGGACCCCCAGCCCAGGCACCCCACCCAUGCUCUGAGCUGUGGGCCUGAAACCCGCCCUCCUAGCAGGGAGCCUGGCUGCGCCCCAGGCAGCUUCUGCUUGGAGCUCCGUGGAAGGAAAUGCCCUCAGGUUCCCAGGCACUGAGCCUCCCCUCCCGCUAACCCCAUCAGGGGUAUAGCAGAACCGUGGUGCUCAGCCUGCCUCUCUCUGCCUGGGCAGGACCGUGGAGCCCACGCGUGUCCUCUCUCCUGUCCCCAGAUGGAAGCCGGCAGGUGGGGCCCUAGCAGGGCACAUGCUCGACGUGUGGGUGGAUGAGGACCCGGUGGGGUCAGGUCUGGGGCAGCGGGACAGGGUCUCCAGGACGGGGCCUGGCUGCAGAUAGGCGGGAGAACGGCUGCUGGUUCCCUGAGGCCACUGGGGAGCCAAGAUGCAGUCCCCGAGGGGUUUCCAGGGAGCAGCCACUGGGCUGGGCAGCUGGGAGCAGGGGCAGAGAGAGCUGGGGCUGAGUCCUGGCCUGCCCCCUGGGGACUCCUGGGCUGUAAGGCAGGGGUGGGCAGGGCCUGGACCCUUGUUGGGGGCCCCUCCCUGGCUGUGGUCCACCUCAGGAGCCAAGGAGGCUGGGGGGCUGGUGUGGGCAGCUACCUUUGUUCCCCACGGGUCCUCAGGAAGGCGGCCCCACAGACUGAGGAGGCCCUGCUGGCCCUGGAGCUGUGUUCGGAGCCCCCACAGCCUGGCUCCUGGCUCUGGUUGCCGUGGGCGGGAGGUGGAAGUACAAGGAGAAGGAGUGUCCAGCAUUUUCACGAGUGCCACCGCCAGAGGCCAAGCUGGGGACAAGAGGGCAGCCAGGCACCACCCUGGCCCCAGGCAGACUCCCCAGGGCUCGCUGAAGGGCCGGCAGCCCUGGGCCUGGCAGCUCCCCUUGCAAGCCCCAGCUGGGGGCUCUGUCAUCCGGGAGGCCCUGGGCCUGACCUUCGCCGGCUGCCCCUGGGCCUGGAGGCAGGACACGAAGGGGCUGAUGGGUCUGUGGUCAGCCCUGAGCACAGUUUGCUGAGCUGUGGUCUUGCUGAGCCAGCCCACAGGCCCAGCGACUCCUGGCUUACUCAGCCCAGGCCUGAGGCUCCCAGGGAAGGCCAGGCCAGGCUGUGCAGGAACCUGCCUAUGGGGCUGGGCACCUGGCCCUCCAGGAAGGCCUGCCUUCGAGGAGCUGCUCUGCACAGCUGGUCUCGACACCCCCCUAGGCACCAGGAGCGAAGAGGGAGAGGCUUUGGGAAGGAGACACAGGUCAGACUCCAUCUUCCAUGGCAGCAACUGGCUUGAUGCUCUCUUUCGGUGUCAUCUUCGCUUGGUAACCAUGGGUGGAAGGAAAGGAGGAACGGCCACUGCUCCCUUGUUUGGAGGUCAAAGGAACAGGAGGGGCACAGGGAGGUCCGGAGGAGCCCAGCAGAGCCCCUGCCCAGCCUGGGAGGAGGCCUCAGCCCAGCUCAUGUCCCGCUGUGUUGGCAGUCAGACGGUCACAUGGCAUGGCCACCCUGGCCCCAAAGCCGAGAGCUUACAGAAAAGUCAGCCUCGAUGGACGGCAAGAUGCACCUGUCAGCCAUGAAGGAGCCCCCCGAGGUGCAGACCCCCACAUCCGCCGUACCCCUGUGGAGAAAACAGCGCUGGAUUUCCUGUGGUGGGUUUUGUGACUUUGAAAGCCAGGCUGCUGAUUGGGAAUUAAAUCCCAGAGGACGCCGCUCAACACACUGGAAACCCAGCAGCUGCUGCUGUUCCCAGCAAUUUUUCUCUCUCUAAAUUGAA